UUGGCGGGCCCACCGGGGCCACCCGGUCGCCGGGGGACGUCGUCCCCGGGCCCGCGCCCGCCGAAGCGCUCUGUGAACCCUGAUGAAGAUGGGCUGUCUGAGUCGAAUGAAAAUUGUCAAAACUUUCAACAAUGGAUCUCUUGGUUCCGGCAUCGAUGAAGAACGCAGCGAAAUGCGAUAAGUAAUGUGAAUUGCAGAAUUCCGUGAAUCAUCGAAUCUUUGAACGCACAUUGCGCCCCCUGGCAUUCCGGGGGGCAUGCCUGUCCGAGCGUCAUUUCUGCCCUCAAGCCCGGCUUGUGUGUUGGGCGUGGUCCCCCCGGGGACCUGCCCGAAAGGCAGCGGCGACGUCCGUCUGGUCCUCGAGCGUAUGGGGCUCUGUCACUCGCUCGGGACGGAUCGGCGGAGGUUGGUCACCACCACAGUUUUACCACGGUUGACCUCGGAUCAGGUAGGAGUUACCCGCUGAACUUAAGCAUAUCAAUAAGCGGAGGAAAAGAAACCAACCGGGAUUGCCUCAGUAACGGCGAGUGAAGCGGCAAGAGCUCAAAUUUGAAAUCUGGCCCCUUGGGGGUCCGAGUUGUAAUUUGCAGAGGAUGCUUCGGGUGCGGUCCCCAUCUAAGUGCCCUGGAACGGGCCGUCAU
rnacentral:rRNA from 1 species